rnacentral:rRNA from 1 species
AACACGGAUUAGAUACCCUGGUAGUCCAUGCCGUAAACGUUGGGAACUAGGUGUGGGUCUCAUUCCACGAGAUCCGUGCCGCAGCUGACGCAUUAAGUUCCCCGCCUGGGGAGUACGGCCGCAAGGCUAAAACUCAAAGGAAUUGACGGGGGCCCGCACAAGCGGCGGAGCAUGCGGAUUAAUUCGAUGCAGCGCGAAGAACCUUACCAAGGCUUGACAUACACCGGAAACAUCCAGAGAUGGGUGCCCCGCAAGGUCGGUGUACAGGUGGUGCAUGGUUGUCGUCAGCUCGUGUCGUGAGAUGUUGGGUUAAGUCCCGCAACGAGCGCAACCCUCGUUCUAUGUUGCCAGCGCGUGAUGGCGGGGACUCAUAGGAGACUGCCGGGGUCAACUCGGAGGAAGGUGGGGAUGACGUCAAAUCAUCAUGCCCCUUAUGUCUUGGGCUUCACGCAUGCUACAAUGGCCGGUACAAAGGGCUGCGAUACCGUAAGGUGGAGCGAAUCCCAAAAAGCCGGUCUCGGUUCGGAUUGAGGUCUGCAACUCGACCUCAUGAAGUCGGAGUCGCUAGUAAUCGCAGAUCAGCAACGCUGCGGUGAAUACGUUCCCGGGCCUUGUACACACCGCCCGUCAAGUCAUGAAAGUCGGUAACACCCGAAGCCGGUGGCCUAACCCUUGUGGAAGGAGCCGUCGAAGGUGGGAUCGGUAAUUAGGACUAAGUCGUAACAAGGUAGCCGUAA